AAGUCGUAACAAGGUUUCCGUAGGUGAACCUGCAGAAGGAUCAUUAUAGAUUUUAAUUAUUUGUGAAUUUUACAAACAUCAAAUUAUAAAUUAUACAAUCAAAAAAAAUAAAUCAAAACUUUUAACAAUGGAUCUCUUGGUUCUC
rnacentral:misc_RNA from 1 species